rnacentral:rRNA from 1 species
GACGAACGCUGGCGGCGUGCCUAAUACAUGCAAGUCGAGCGGACAGAAGGGAGCUUGCUCCCGGAAGUUAGCGGCGGACGGGUGAGUAACACGUGGGCAACCUACCCUGUAGAUCGGGAUAACAUCGAGAAAUCGGUGCUAAUACCGGAUAAUCAUUUGAAGUGCAUGCUUCGAAUGUAAAAGAUGGCUCCGGCUAUCACUACGGGAUGGGCCCGCGGCGCAUUAGCUAGUUGGUAAGGUAAUGGCUCACCAAGGCAACGAUGCGUAGCCGACCUGAGAGGGUGAUCGGCCACACUGGGACUGAGACACGGCCCAGACUCCUACGGGAGGCAGCAGUAGGGGAUCUUCCGCAAUGGACGAAAGUCUGACGGAGCAACGCCGCGUGAGUGAUGAAGGUUUUCGGAUCGUAAAGCUCUGUUGUUAGGGAAGAACAAGUGCCGUUUGAAUAAGGCGGCACCUUGACGGUACCUAACCAGAAAGCCACGGCUAACUACGUGCCAGCCGCCGCCGUAAAAC